rnacentral:tRNA from 1 species
AUUUGAAUAGCUUAUACAGAGCAUAAUAUUGAAGAUAUUAAGGAAAUAGUCUCUAUUUUUAAAUA